ensembl:lncRNA
CGGCAUUCCCAUGGCAACAGUAUCACAAAGAAAAGUUCCCACUGGUGUAAAGGCAAGAUGCUUUCCUCCUUGAUGUAAAAUAUUAUGCUGAUGGAUGGGGAAAAGCAGAUUAAAACUACAAAGAGAUGUCACUACACACCCACUUACAGUAAAAACUCCGAGCGCACCAAGUGUUGGCAAUGACAUCAAGCAUCUGGAAUGCUCAUACACUGCUGCUCCUCGUUCUUGCUUCCAGGAAUCACCUCCCAGAUGAACUUCGACAUACCUCAGUCCUCAUCCCAGGUUCCAGGUCUCAUCUUCAUCACAUCAGAGGCUGCACCUUCAAACCAUGAACAAGUUCAACACUGAGCUCAUGGUCGGCCUGUAAGAUAAGUUGAGCCCAGGGCAGGAGUGGAGUGGAGUGGAGGGCACUUUUCAAAACCUAAUGCCCAAGAGAAAUUUUGACUGUUUUUUUCUUUUAACUUAAUCCUUAGUGACUAAAAUUUUGACCUUCUAGUCACAGUUAAAUAAAAAGCUACUUGAGCAAGGGGGAUGGGGAAUAAAUAUUUGUAUUUAAAAUCAGAAUGAAAGAAACGCCAACCAGAGAGGGCCCUUUCGAUGACACAGAUACACAGGAAAACAUUAUCUGCUUGGAAAUUGCAUAGCAGUGGUCCAGCCUGGCAUGUUGACAUCAGGAUUCUCACUACAAACUACUAGGUCUGUUUCUGCCUCAUAUACUGACUUUAUUUUGCUGAAAAGACACUUGCUAUCAUUGGAUACAACUGUGGAUGGAAUUAGCACACAGGAAGAUUAUUUAUUACUAAUAUGCUCAAAGCAUAAUUAUACCAAAGCACAUCAUAACCAAACUGCUGAAAUAAAUGAUAAAGAGAAAAUCUUAAAUGCACACCGAUGAGAGUAAGAGCACAUUAUAUACAAAGGGAAAAAAAGAUAAAAAUAAAUGCUUACUUUUCAUCAUAAAUAAUGCAAGAGCCAAGAUAAUGAAACAACCUCUUUACUCUGUUCAAAGGAAGGAAAAAAAAAUCUGUCAACCUAGGAUUCUGUGUUAAGGGAAAAUAUACUUCAAAAAUAAAGCCAAAAUAAAUA